GAGAAAAGACGCCGGCGGAGAUUUGCGGAGUUCGUUCCCGUGCCCUGACAGCGAGGCAGAAGCAAAUAGGUCUCCUUGGAUGUUCCAGCCUUACCUGGUCUUCUUGGGGCGCGCGGCUCCUUCUCCUCCGACCCCCUUCCUCUCUCGCCUCCAGCCAGUUCCCUGGCUCAGACUGGCAUGGAAACUUUCCUUGGGAAAUCCAGCCCCGCGCACGAGGUGUGGCUCUCCACCCCGCUGCGUGAGAGAAGGAGGAAA